GGAGAGAGAGAAGGGCUGAUAACCAAGACAACGACACAAAGAUGGCGACAGAUUCCACUGCGGGACGCCAACAGGAGUCCAGAUUAACAGAUCGUCCUGCGGAGUACCAGAACCGUGUCCGUUACAACCGUUACAACGGGACGACGACCGGCCUGACACCACGACACCACCACCACCGACCCAUCAUCGCCACGGGCGGUAUGGAGAGAGGACCUAGCAGCAGCCAGGUGUGGAACCCCUCCUCUGUUUUCUGUAUGGACAGAGCAGAGCCCCCCCUGCUGACCUGGUGGUCCACCUGCAGGUCUGGGAUGGGGAGAGGGGGGAAACCCCAGUCCACUGGAGAGGAGUGGCACACCAUACAGGACGCUUGGGUGCAGCUGUUUCAAGGUAACGAUGAUUUACAUUUUUGCUAUAAUAGGCAUUUGUAAAACAUAGACCUAUUUGAAUAC
ensembl:lncRNA